UACGGGAGGUGCAAGCGUUGUUCGGAGUGACUGGGCGUAAAGCGCACGUAGGUGGGCUUGUAAGUCGGAUGUGAAAUCCCCGGGCUUAACCUGGGAACUGCAUCCGAAACUACAAGUCUUGAAUGCUUCAGAGGUUGGUAGAAUUCCUGGUGUAGGAGUGAAAUCCGUAGAUAUCAGGAGGAAUACCGGAGGCGAAGGCGGCCAACUGGGAGUGCAUUGACACUGAGGUGCGAAAGCGUGGGGAGCAAACAGG
rnacentral:rRNA from 1 species